rnacentral:rRNA from 1 species
UACGGAGGCCCCAAGCGUUGUUCGGAUUUAUUGGGCGUAAAGGGUGCGUAGGCGGCAUCUUAAGUCUGGUGUGAAAGGCGGGGGGCUCAACCCCUGGACUGCAUUGGAUACUGGGAUGCUGGAGGACUGGAGAGGAGAAUGGAAUUCACGGUGGAGCAGUGAAAUGCGUAGAUAUCGCGAGGAAGGCCAGUGGCGAAGGCGAUUCUCUGGACAGUACCUGACGCUGAGGCACGAAGGCUGGGGGGAGCGAACAGG